rnacentral:rRNA from 1 species
AGUCAAUAGAUACCCCGGUAGUCCCGGCUGUAAACGGUGCAUAUUUGCUGUAAAAAGGAAAUCGACCCCUUUUCGUUGGCGUAGCCAAACGCGAUAAAUAAUGCCGCCUGGGAAGGUACGGUCGCAAGAUUAAAACUACAAAGAAAUUAGACGGGGGCCCGUGCACAAGCGGUGGAGUAUGUGGCUUAAAUUCGAUGCAACGCGAAGAACCUUACCUGGCCUUGACAUGCAUCUGGUAGGACCGUGGAAGCGGAACGACCCCGCAAGGGGAGGAUGCACAGGUGCUGCAUGGCUGUCGUCAGCUCGUGUCGUGAGAUGUUGGGUUAAGUCCCGCAACGAGCGCAACCCUUGUGUCCUGUUGCCACCCCCGUCGAGAGAGGGGAGGCACUCUGGACAGACUGCCU